rnacentral:lncRNA from 1 species
UUCGUCCAAAAGUUUUAUUACUUAAGCCCAGUGGGCAUGCAAAUACAGAAGAGUUAAACUAGAGGAUUACAAACGAAAUUUAAAAGGCCCAAACUAAACCAUAUUACAAAAUACAAAAGAUAAUAAAACUUUGAUGGUUUAGCAUAAGACACGUGGAGAUGAAGCACCUCCUCUAAGCCACGCAUCAAAUUGAAGCAGUUCCACGUCUCCACCGUCUGUUCUUCUCAAGCAUCACCGGCAUUCGAUUAGCCACCACCAAAUAACCCGAGGAUGAUGAGAAUCCUCUUAUCUUCUGCCGAUCUCAAAUCCAAUCAAAGGAUACGUCGAAGUCUACCGGAUCAAGUAUAUUAAACUUCUUCAAAUUUUCUUCGAGUAUCAUCAACUCCGGGGAAGCUCCACCACCGAUUACAUCCAGAUUUUGAUGUAAUACUUUGCUUUGCUCUUAUGAAAUGAGCAAAAUAAAAGUGACGAAGAUAUUACUCCUCGAAUAGCUGAAGAAACAAAGAAAAUUUGGAAGUGAUUAUCGGAGAAAUCAACGGGAAAAUAACAUAACUGGAUGAGAGAUCUUAUCUCGCUAAAACGAGAAAUAAAACCGGACUUAGCCGGUACAAAGAUCCGGAUCUUAGCCGGAAAUUAUAUUAUAUGACAAAAUUCCGGUGUACCGGAAAUCUCUUUCUCUCUCUGAAAAAUAGAGGUGUGAUAAGAGAGAGAAUGAACUAAGUUGUAAUCUAUUUCGGUUAAACUACACAAUAGUACCGUUGAUUUUAAAACCAAGGACACUAAACCCUUCACCUGAGCCAGAAGCUCUCUAGCCUACUUAGCUCACUUUAAGCUAGAAAAUCUUUUGUGUCACUCUGUCCCUUUUAGGGUUCUAAAUUCGUUGUAAUCCAAAGUUUGGGUACAAAACUACAAACCCGUCUUCCCUCUUUGGGUACGAACUAGAAUAAACUCUUUUUCUCUUUGCUUAUAAAAUGCUAAACCUUGGUUUUGUUUCUCUCAUUCUAAUAUCUGUUGGCAAAUCUUGUUCUGCAUACUUACUUCUCUCUGUUCAUGUUUGUUUACAGUUUCCUAAAGAGCUCAAAUUUUUCUUACAGAUUCCGGAAAUUGAAGCAACCACCAAAAGAAUGGCACCGAGAAAGAAGAAGACACAAACCAUGAUUUGGGUACAUACUCUUUUCUCUCCUUUUGGUACAAAAUUCGAAAAAAAAGUUGUCAUUUUUAUCGAGUUCUUGAAUUAGAUUUUGAUCCUCUGUUCAUGUUUCCUAAACUCUAGAAGCUGAAUUUGUCUCUUAGGUUAGGAAAUCGCAACAAUCAGAAACCAUGGCAACAACAGAGAAGAACAAAUCGCUACUAGACUGCUCUCAUCUCCUUGAAGAGCUACCGCAAAGUUACAGUAGUGUAUGAACUCUGUUUCUCUCCUCCUUUCAAGUUUGAGUUUGGAAAUGUGAUUUGAUUCUUGGAUUUCAAUGUUUGUUGGCAGAUUGUAGUUUUGUGUUUGUAUAUAUGGUGAAAAGAGGAUUUGAAAUCAAUCUAGAUGAAGCUUUAUACUUCUCAGGACAGCUAAUUGAUAUUUUUCAUUCAGGUUUUAAAACAACCUGCAAUGACAAUGCAAGACUGGUCUCUUCUCCCUGAGGAGCUACUUCACAUUAUCUCUGAGUAUCUUGAGGACUGUUUCGAUGUUAUUCAUGCUCGGUCUGUUUGCCACCUGUGGCGAUCUAUUUUUCCCUUUCCUUCUUGUCUACUACGCACUAGUUAUUCUCUCCCCUCGUUCACCAAGUUUCCUCGCAGAAGCAAAGGUCUUUGCACCCUUGAGAAGUUCCCUAUGUUCCUCUUUAAAGUCCUAUCUCCUGCAAUUACUGAUGCAGAGUUUUUUGUGGGAGGAAUAAACCGAGAUAAGUCAGAAGAUUGUAUGAAGCUUCAAUCUUCCAUUCAAUGUUCAGUGAAGGUGAAGAUCCAAAAUUCUGAACCAACCUUGUUGAACUUUCUCGACUGUCAGAUACUUCCUCUAGGUUAUCAGUACAAAAUGAUUGGUUUUGAUCCUACUUCAUUGGCAACAAGUUUCAGAGGUAUGGCUUUCCUACCGCUAAACAAAGAGGCAGGAGGAGGAGGAUUUGUUGUGCUUAUAGGAUACUCUCAUAGUUUGUUGGUGUUAAGGAGUGCAGAAAUGAGGUGGAUGCGGCUUGAGAAUUGCGCAGAAGCUGACUGCAAGCAUAUAAUCACAUUUAGAGGCAAGUUUUAUGCAGUCUUUAUUAGUGGAGAUGUUUUUGUUAUCGAUCCUUAUUCGCUGGAAGCAACUCCCUUGAGACCCUCAGAGCGUUUGACUUCACAAAACGAUCUUGUACCAUCUGGCAAUGAUGAGCUUUUCCUGGUUGAGAGAAUCAUUGUUCGUGGUACUGUAUUACAGCUUAGCAAGUUAGCAUGUAGAGACAGUAGGUUAGAUGAGGAGGCUGGUGAAUGGGUUGUGGUCAGCGAUUUGGGAGACCGUGUACUGCUUAUUGGAGAGCCGGGAAAUUGCGCUUUCUCAGCUAAGGAGCUUCCUGAUGGUUGUGGGGUGAGUGGGAACUCAAUGAUAUUCACCAAUGAGCCAUUCGGUGUAACUUACUCUUAUAAAUAUGGAGUGGAUACAGGAAACGCUGAAGACGACCUCAAUUUAUGGCGAUGCUCAAGAGAGACUCGUGUGAAGAUACUCAACAUGUCUCCGAUGGUGGCUUUUCGGGUUGAGUGCAAGAAGCCGUAAAAUCCUACUUUGGAUAACUGAAUCUGUUGGCUUUGUUUUUCUAGCUUUUGUAUGAUUUCAACUAAGGAUCUUGUGAUCUCUGAUGUUGUGGUGAAAUUCUAGUUUUAGUAAUUUGUCGUUCUAAACUUACCUAUCCCCUUUGUCUCUAUGGAAACGUUUGUCUCAUGAACUCUCUAAACCGUGUCUGGAUGUGCUCUUGUUAAUGUCUUUUGUAGUUAAUUAUCUAUCAUGCCUCUUGUAUUGCCAUCCAUUAUAUUAUAGUUUAAUUUCAGAUGAGCUGAUAAAAAAAAAGGUAACACAGAGUUCAGCUUCCCCUGAAGUGUUCUUGAACGUACUUUGCACCGUGUGCGUUUGGUGGUCAAACAUUUUUACGAGUGUUCAAUCUAAGACAGGGCAGGGAAGACACAUUGUUCUCCUCGUCGAUCGAAAAGGUGAGAAAUCAAAAUCUAUGCAGCUUCUCAUAUGCUUCAAUUUGGUUUGAAAAACUUCUUCUCUCCAUCAAUUUUUGCAUUGUGAUUUAUGAGAAAGGUAAUGUAACUGACUCGUGGUGAAUCAUAUGGUUUCUUCAUCAACUAUUAAACGUACAAUCUAUUAAUAAGAAAAUUCCAAAUUAGAACAGUUUACUCAAGUGUGUGAUGUUUUGUCAAAUUCCAUCUCACUCGUUGGGCUAAUGUGUCACAAAAGCAGUUAGUUCAAAUGAUCUUUUGAAGAAUUACCAGAGUACAAAGCAGUUUCUUGUUCACUGCAGUGUAAGAGAAGAGGGGACACACAUCGAUGGAAUCGUCCAUCAGUUGAAGAUUUCAAAAAACACAAUCUGAAUUUCAUUAAAUCUAACUGCAUGUAUCAGAGACCAAUACAAAACAAUAAACCCUAAUUAGUACCUUAAAGUCUACGACACUAUCAAAUCUAUUAAACCCCUAAGAGCAUGUCCAAUGAAAGUUUUUAAUUAAAAGUUCUUGGGUGUUUUUUGAUAAUAAAUUGUGCACUUUUCAAAAAUAAGAACUUUUUAAAAUUAUCCACCUCCAAUGGUAAAACUCUAAUUGGAGUUUUUAGAAACAAAAUUUUGAAAACUAAAAUUUGAUAAAACAGGAAAAUUAUUGAGAACUUUUGAGAAAUACCUCUUUUAGUGUAUCUUUUUCAAAAAUACCUAUUUAUCUAUCUAUUUUCAAAAAUACCUUGUUUAAAUAUGAAAAUUAUAAAGUUUUAUAUGAUUUAUAAGGUACUUUUACAUAAUAACUACUACUGAGAUUCGAUAUAAAUAUUUUAUAAUGUUUAAAAAGGUUUUAAAUCGUUUUUACAUAUUUUAAAGGUUUUUAAAGGUUUUUAUAAGUUACUUUACGCUAUUUAUAAAAAUUAUAUAAAAUUUUAUACGCAUACAAAAGUAAUUUGUGUGUAUAGUUAUAAGUUUAUACACAUAUUUUGAUAAAUUUCAACAUUUUUAGUGGUUUUUUUGAUUAAAUUUGAAAAUAGAGUAUUUUUAAAAAAUGAUAUGUGAUAAGUGGUAUUUUUGCAAUUUCCUCAAAAUUAUUAGAUUUUAUAAAAUUUGUAACACAUUAAACCCUACCCCCUAAAUACUAUACCCUAAAUUGCAAAUAAUCAACCCAAACCAAAGAUUUAAAAUUCCAUACCAUUGAACAAUAAUUUGAUUUUAGUGGUAUUUUUGGAAAGAAAACCAAAAUGAUGGUAUUGUGAGGAAUUCCUCUAAUAUAAAAACAUAAUAAAAAUACAUAGUACAAAUUAUAUUUUAAUUGUUACCAACAAAAUGUUUUUUUUUUCUUAAACUCAAACCACUCAUAUAUUGACAACUAACACUAAAAAAACUCUCCCAAAACUUCUAAAUUAAAAUACAUUUCUUAAUUUUAUUUUCAUUAUUGAUUUAUUUUUUUGUCUUUUAUUAUUAAGAAACUACUUAGCAAACCACCAUUGGACAUGGUCUAAACUAAUGAAACGAUCAUUACAAAUCUACUACCAUAUCAAAAAAAAAAUAACAUAAAUUGAAACCCUAAUUAGACUACUUCGGAUACACGGAUCAACAAAAUCAUUACACAACCACAAAAAAAAAAGACAUGUCUUGAAACCCUAAUCAAACUCUGUUUCAUUCUUGUAAUUGGUAAACAGGUUGGCGACAGAGAGGGCAUGAGUUCUUUUGUCGAUUCAUCCACUCAAUGACACAUUCUUUAUGAAACUGAUGCGAACAAUUAGUCAUGUCGUAGAUAUGUUCAAACUCCAACAUCUUCUCCAAACAAAUCGCACAAGUCUCUGUUUCUCCUUCUCCUUCUUCUUCUUCUUCUUCUUCUUCUUCGCUCUCUUGUAAACGAGGCACAACGAUGUAAACCUUCUGUGUCAAAGUGAUGUAGACAACCACGUAUAAGGAUUCAGAACUUUGACUUCUCAGCUGUUGGGUUUUAACAACAAUCUUCUCAGAUAUCAGCUUGGACAAGACACGGUUGUGGAGUUGGCUAAGAACAACUCGAUAGAUGUGGUUUUGUUCGAAGUUUUGGAUCUUCAGAUAGAUGAUAGGGGCAGGAGGAGAAGGAUCCGGGUAAGAUCUGAAACGUGUUACACUGUCAUCGUUCUUGUCUAUGAUAAGUUCUUCGAAUUCUCUGUCUGUACUGAUUAGUACAUUGCUUGAGAACUCUGACGAUGGAGUAUGAUGCCAAGCUGUUACAUGAACAUCAACGUCUACUGAUUUGGUUUCCAUGAUCAAAGAGAGAUGAUGAGUCGUUUAAGAGAUUGUAAUGAGAAAACGAGAGAGAACAGAGAAGAGAUUAUUGUGAAAGUAUGAAUUUGUUGUGAAAUAUGAAAUUGUGAAGUGUUAUUUUAUUAUAUUAUGCAUAUAAUUUCCUUUUUUCCUUCGAAUUUCCUUUUUUAUUUCCAAUUUCCAUUUUUGUUUUUUGGGGUCUAGAUAUUUAACGUUCGUUUACUGUUGUAUUUACUUUUUUUUUGGGGUAGAUAUCUAAUUAAACCGGAGCUAAACCAGUUCCAAUCGUUUCUCGGUUUAUUAUGUUUUGCUAUGUUUGGGCCUGGGCUAAUAAUUAAUACAGCCCAUCUUCUCAUAACGUAACCCAAUUUCAAUCAUAAACCGAAGACUAAACCACCGAGAAUGUAGUGUGUUCUUCUUCUUCUCCGUGAGUUUAAUAAACCGAGUUAUUAUGAAAUCAAUCCUUAACCGAAGACUAACCAUCGAGAUUGGAAUCGUAAACCAAUGUCACAAUUUUAGUGUGUUCUGCUUCUUCUUCUUCUUCUCCGUGAGUUCUUAAACAUAAACCAGAGGGUUUUGGGAACGAUUCAUCUUCUUCCCCUUUGCUACGAAAUUGAAAUUGAGACUCGAUUCUUUAAUACUUGCUGGCAAAUGUUACAUAGCCUCAUACGAUGAAUCGUCUUUCUUUUAAUCAUGUUCGUUUGCAAUAUCCUGAUUAAACCCUAGAAGCUUUCAGAUUUUCGAAAAUGGCAACGGAACAAGAUACGUCAUACCAAAUGCUAGAAUCAUCUCUCCUCCCUGAUUGUGUACGUUUGCUUCUGUGUUUGAGUUGAGAAAUUUGAUUUGAUUCUUCGUUUUCUCAAUGUUUGUUAGCUGAGAUGAGUUUUUUUGUUUGCAAAAUCGCAGUUGUCUCUGUCUCCGUCUCCAUCGGCGAAAAUGGAGCAAUCUGCAAGGAAAAAGCACACAUUGUGCAAGCCAGACUGGUCUCUGCUCCCUGAAGAGUUACUCCACUAUAUCUCCACCAAGCAUCUGGAAGAUCACUGUUUCGAUGUUGUCCAUGCUCGCUCUGUUUGCAGCUCGUGGAGAUCUUCAUUUCCAUUUCCUUCUUGCCUAUUACGUCCACGUUACUCUCUUCCAUCGCUACCCAAGUUCGGUUGGAAAAGAAAGGAAUUGUGCAUCCUCGAGAAGACCCCUAUGUUCCUGUUUAAAGUCCUAGAUACCACUGCUGCUUCUGCGUUGCCUUCUGAGUAUUUUAUGGGAGAUUUAAGCCGAGAUAAUCGUUUGGAGCUACCGUCUCAUCUUCAGUGUUCAGUUAAAGUGAAUGUCUCAGGAUCUAAUCCAUUCUUGAUGAACAUGCUUGACUGCCAAAUCCUCCCACUAGGGUAUCAGUACAGAAUGGUCGGUCGGAAUCCUGAAGAAAUGACGAUAGCUUUUCUUCCACUAAACAAGGAUGAAGGAGGAGAAGCAGGAGAAGAGUUUGUUGUGCUUCUCAGCUACUCUAGUUAUUUACUGAUGUUGACAAGUGCUGAAAUGAGGUGGAUGUGGCUUUCGAAUAUCCCAAAUGCUUCAUGCUCGGAGUUAGUCACUUUUCGAGGCAGAUUUUAUUUAGCCUUUCUUAACGGGGACAUUUGCGUUUUCGAUCCUUGUUCGCUUGAAGCGACUGACCUGAUGCCCUCACAGCCUCUGCGAUCAAGCAAUUAUCUGAUUUCAUCUGGCAAUGAUGAACUUUUUUUGGUUGAGAUAAUCGGGCCGUAUCCUUUGGGAUUAGCUUUUGGUCGAUUCACAUGUAGAGUCAGUCGGCUAGAUGAGGAGGCUAGUAAAUGGGUGGAGGUUCGCGAUUUGGGAAACCGUGCAUUGUUUAUUGGACUGCUGGGAAAUAGCUCGUGCUCGGCUAAGGAGCUUCCUGAUGGUUGUGGUGUGAGUAAGAACUCGAUUGUCUUCACCUUUGGGCCGUGCAAUGUAUCUUACAUCUAUAAAUAUGGAGUACAUACAGGAAACACGGAAGACGACCUCAAUUGGUGGAGAUGCGCAAGUGAGAGUCGUGUGAAUAUCUUCUACACGAAGUCAUAAAAUCUACCUUUGGAUCUACCCAAGAGUCUUAAGACAUCUAUUGGUUUUGGUUUGGUAAAGAUAUAGUGUCACGGACACAUGCUGAAGAUCAAGAUCACUCGAGAUUCAAGUCUUUGUUAAAUAAAUUGGAAACACAGUAGCGUAUAGAAAUUGUUGUCUCAUGAACUCCUCAAACAGUGUCUAGCUUUGUUGUCAUAUGUUUUGACAUAAUAAGUAUUAAGUAUGAUUAGAUUACCAUUAUUAUUGGUACUAUUUACACGAUUCAGUAAACAAUUCAGACAUAUUAAAGAACUAUUUUUGACAAUUAACUAGAAGGUCUCUCUCUCUCUCCUUUUACUCCGUGGUGUGACUGAAUUUUGGGUUAAAAACUUGUAAUCCAAAGUUUGGGUACGAAAUUGAAUAAUCUAUAUUUUGUUUUAUCGAAUUCUGAAUUGGGUUCGAAUCUCUCUUUCCAAUAUCUGUUGGCAAAAAUGUUGUUCUUGACAUAGUUACUUCACUCUGUUCAUGUUUUGUUCACAGUUUACCUAAACCCCUACAAAGCUUAGUUUUUUCAUACAGAUUUCGGAAAUUACAGCAAUCAGCAAAAACAUGGCACCGAGAAAGAAGACACCAACCAUGAUUUGGGUACGCACUCUUUUCUCUGCUUUUGAUACAAAAACUCGUAAAAGUUGUCAUUUUUAUCGAGUUCUUGAAUUGGAGUAGAUUCCUUGUUUCAAUACAAACUCGUUCUCUGUUCAUGUUUCCUAAAUCCUUAGAAGCUUAAUCUGUAUUUUAGGUUAGGAAAUCGCAACAACCAGAGAACAUGGCAACAACAGAGAAGAACAAAUCGCUACUAGACUGCUCUCCUCUCCUUGAAGAGUUACCGCAGAGUUCCAAUAGUGUAUGAACUCUUUUUCUCACUUAAUUUGAUUUGUAUAACUACGAGUUUGAGUUUAGUAAUUUGAUUUCAGAUGUAGUUUGCUAUAUGUAUGGUGAUAAAAAAAAAAGAUUGAAUCAGUCCAUAUGUAGCUUUACACAUCCAAUUCAUUGGCAGAACUAACGUAUUGAUUAGAUCUUCUCUGUUUCAUUCCUGUCCUAACACAAUGUUGUCCAUCCUUUUUCCUUUAGGUUUCAAAAUCGCAGCUUCCUCUUGCAACGGAAGAGCAUACAUUGUCCAAGAAAGACUGGUCUCUUCUUCCUGAAGAGAUUCUGCACAUUAUAUCUGAGAAGCUGGAGGACGGUUUCGAUGUUAUUCAUGCUCGGUCUGUUUGCCACCCGUGGCGAUUCGUUUUUCCGUUUCCUUCUUGCCUAUUACGCACUAGUUAUCAUCUUCCCUCGUUCGAAAAGUUUCCUCGCAAAGCUAGAGGUUUCUGCACUCUAGAGAAGUUCCCUAUGUUCCUCUUUCGAGUCCGAGCUCCCGCUGUUGCUGAUGAGUUGCCUUCUAAGUUUUUUGUGGGAGGAAUUAACCGAGAUAAGUUAGAGGAUCAUAUGCAACUUCCAUCUCCACUGCAAUGUUCGGUGAAAGUGAAGAUACAAGGAUCUGAUCCAUCCUUGAUGAACAUUCUCGAUUGUCAGAUUCUCCCUCUUGGCUAUCAGUGCAGAAUGAUUGGUUACGAUCCUAACUCAUUGGAAACCAGUUUUAGAGGCGUGGCUGUUCUACCGCUAAAUAAGGAGGAAGGAGGAAGAGAAUUCGUUGUGCUUAUUGGCUACUCUCAUUUAUUAUUGGUUCUAAGAAGUGCGGAAAUGAAGUGGAUGCGGGUUGAGAAAGCCUCUAGAGCUGACUGCAAGCAUAUAGUCACAUUUAGAGGCAAAUUUUAUGCAGUCUUUAUUAAUGGAGAUGUUUCUGUUAUUGAUCCUUAUUCGCUGGAAGCAACUCCCUUGAGGCCCUCGGACCGUUUGAGCUCACAAAACUAUCUAGUACCAUCUGGCAAUGACGAACUUUUCCUGGUUGAGAGAAUCAUUGUUCGUGGUAGUGUAAUAGAAUUUAGCAAGUUAGCAUGUAGAGUGAGUAGGCUAGAUGAGGAGACUGGUAAAUGGGUCGUGGUCACCGAUUUGGGAGACCGUGUAUUGUUAAUUGGACAAUUGGGAAAUAGCUCCUGCUCGGCUAAGGAACUUCCUGAUGGUUGUGGUGUGAGUGGGAACUCAAUGUUGUUCAUCAAUGAGAUAUUCAAUGAAACUUAUUCCUAUAAAUAUGGAGUAGAUACAGGAAACGCAGAAGACAACCUUAAUUUGUGGAGAUCUUCGAAAGAGACUAGUGUAACGAUCCUCAACACAUCUCCAAUGGUGGCUCUCCGGAUAGACCGCGAAAAGCUGUAAAAUAUUACUCUGGAUACCUGAGACAUCUGUUGAUUGUUGUUUUUAUUAGCUAAAAAUAUAUUUUCCUAAUGAUUUCUGUAAAGAUUUUGUGAUCUCUGAUGUUAUGGUGAUAUUCUAUUAUCAAUUUUUGUAGUUCUAAACUAUCUACCACAAGUCCACAACCUUAUUGUCUCUAUCAUGGAAAUGGUUGUCUUAUGAACUCUCUGUGCUCUUGGUAACACACGGUCUUGGUCUUGAACUGACAUUGCUCCGUGUGAAUAUGUGUUUGGUGAUCAAGCUUGUAUACUAGUGUCUGAACGAAACCAGGGCAGGGCAGACACAUUGUUCUCCUCUACGAUCAAAAAGUGACCUAUGCAGCUUCUCAUAUGCUUCAAUUUUAUUUGACACUUCUUCUCUCCAAUCAUUUAGCAUUGUGUUAUGAGACAGGUUAGAACGUUUGUUAAUUUGGAGUACAAUAUUUGUCUCAUGAACUCUCCAAACUGGCUGCGUUCUCAGGUACCACAAGGUCAUGUGUUUACAUCCGGUAUUUAAACCGGAUGUAAACCAAUACAUUAAACCGGAGAUUUAUAGUCAAUAGUUAAGAUGUGUAUGUAAACCGAUACCUUUGAAUUCGGAACUUUCUUCUUCCCCAAUCUCCCAAAUCAAAAUACACUAAACCCUAAAAUUCUCUCGCUGAGACAGUCACAGUUGAGUAAUUUCUUCUCCGACAACUUCUCCAUCCUUUGGUUCUGUCUUCAUAAUCGUUUGCAUUAAGACUGGUAUGUUUCUCGGGAUUUAGCUCCUCUCAUAAUUGUAGAAUCUCAUUGUAACAAACUGAUUCAUCUGCUAUAUAGAUUAUAGUGAUUGUUGUCUAGCCUUCUUUGAGUAAAUCUUCUGGAUUUUAUACUAAUUCUUCAAAAUUGAUUCCUUUGUUAAGCUUAAAACUGAUAGUGUAGUGUCAGUGUGUGUUAGGGUAGUCAAUUCAGAUCAGAUUGUUAUGAUAUAAGUUUUUUUUAAUGUUCAUGUUUGUUUCAAAAUUGAAGCUGUUUUUUUCUUUAAUCAGAAUCCAUGGCUUAGAAAAAGAAGAUAUCAUCGUUAAUGCCAGACUGGUCUCAGCUCCCGGAGGAGCUACUUCAACUUAUCUCACAGAAACUGGAACUUGAGGAUCACUGUUUCGAUGUCAUUCAUGCUCGAUCUGUUUGUCACUUGUGGCGGUCCUCAUUUCCUUUUCCUUCUUGCCUGUUACGCCCAAGUUAUUCUCUUCCCUCGUUCCCGGGUUUCCCUAUCAAAGACAAAGAUUCAUGUACCCUCGAGAAGCUUCCUUUGUUCCUCUUUAGAGUCAAAACAUCUGCUGGUGAUGUUGUUUCUGAGUAUUUUCUAGGAGCAGUAGGCCGCGAUGGGUCAGUUGAUCAUAUGAAGCUUCUUUCAUCUCCCCUUGAGUGCUCAGUGAAAAACAAGAUUCCAGGAUCUGACCCAACCUUGAUGAAGAUGCUCGACUGUCAGAUUCUCUCUCUAGGCCAUCAGUACAGAAUGGCCGGUUUGUGUCCUGAAGAAUGGAGAGUAUAUCAGAAAAGUGUGGUUUUCCUUCCGCUCAACAAAAAUGGAGAAAAACGAGAAUUUGUGGUGCUCCUCAACUACUCUGAAGGUUUGUUGGUGCUAAGAAGUGCUGAAAUGAGGUGGAAACCGCUUAAGUGCCGAAGUUUUGUUGAUCUUCAAUGCACGCAUUUAGUCACUUUUAGAGGCAGAUUUUAUGCAGUCUUUUUUACUGGAAUAAUUGUGGUUAUCGAUCCUUAUUCUCUGCAAGUGACUCGCCUUAUGCCUUCACAGCCUCUGCGCGGAAGUGAUUAUUUGAUUCCAUCUGGCAAUGAUGAGCUUUUCCUGGUCCAGAAAUUCAAUCCUUUUCCUGAUGCUGAUGUGUUAGAUUUUAAUCGUUUCACAUGUAGAGUAAGUAAGCUAGAUGAGGAGGCUGGUACAUGGGUUGUGGUCAGCGAUUUGGGAGACCGUGUGUUGUUUCUUGGAAACUUUGGGAAUGUCUGCUGCUCUGCUAAGGAGCUUCCUGAUGGAUGUGGUGUGAGUGGGAACUCAAUUGUGUACACCAAUGCAGGCUAUGUAACUUUUGCCUACAAAUAUGGAGUACAGACAGGAAGGGCGGAAGACGAGCUCAAUAUUUGGAGAUUCUCAAGAGAGAAAUGUGUGACGGUCCCCAGCACAUUUCCUGCGGUGGCUCUCCGAGUUGAAGACCAAGUCGAAAAUCUCGCUUUGGGUACUUGAGACAUACUGAUGGUUUUGUAUAUAUUUUGUGUCACGACCAUAUGCUGAAAACUAGAUAACUUGUAUGUCAGUUUUAGUUUUAGUUUUUGUUCUAACCAAUUACUUUCUCAAGACCAGACAACUAUGUCUGUGGAAAUGGUUGUCUCAUAAACUCUCAAAGCUAUGUUUGGCUGUGGUCAUGCUUGUGUAGUUCAAGUAUGCCUGUAGCUUGUGUAGUUCAAGUAUGCAUGUAGCUUGUGUAGUUAAAGUAGGCUGCUUUUAGUUUUUAACAAUGGUUACAUUCUUGUUUAAGGUAAUGGUGCCUUAGUAGCGUGCGUAGUUCAUUGUCCAAGUCUGGAGUUAUCUCCAUGUUUAAACUGGUCCAAACGCGGCGAAAAGUAACAUUUCUGCUUUAGUUGGAUCCUUCAGAUGGUGACGAUCAGGAUAAACCUUGUUUUGUUUAGGGUAAGACAGGAAGAAGAAGAAGAAAAGUCGAUAAACUGUGAAACAAGAAAACAAAGUCUAGCUUGGUGUUCAAUACUCUUAAAGAUGUCAUUUAACUUCUUUUGUUUUGUGGAUACACAUCUUCAAAAAUUUAAUAGUUUUCACAUCUUCAGUGAUUAAAUAGUUUUCUUAUUGGACGAAAUCAUUUUGGAAUCUUACUUUCUAGAGCCCAAGCAGAAAAUUAAUUAACUUGUAGGUGGUUACGGUUUUCUAAAGUGGUAAAAAGUAGCAUUUUGAAAACAUUUGGUGUAAUAUUUGCUUUUGAAAAACAUUUUUGUAGCUCAUACACAUUUGCCUACCUCACUUGGCUUAGGUUUGCAGUUUGCUAUUUUUGAACAUAUUAUGAAAGUUCAAAAGACAUUUAUCCACUUUUUUUUAGAUGAUCGAUAAUUAAUCUAAUCAUCUGUUUGUUGCCAUUUUUUUAUUAAUUUUUUUUUCUUUAAUGUCUUACCCCCAACCAAAUUUAUAGUCCAUCUUUAAAGCGUGGAAGAUCCUUGUUGUGAAAAGAAGUUGAGUCUAUUACGAACCAACCGAUCAAUAAACUUGACAACUGACAAGCUGCUCCCAAGGCGUUGGGAUAUCUCUAUGCCGUCCACAGUUUUGUGCUGUUAACGUAGUGUGGGAAUUCAGAUGAAGCUUUGGAAAACAUACAAUACUAAGACAUUUGUUUGUUUUGGUUUUAUUAGAUUAAAUUCAAAUUAUUCUUUAUGAUUUUAGGUAAGGAUUUGGUGAUAUCUCAUGAUAGAAUGAUAUGUGGAAAGCACUUGAUAGUUUAGUUUUAAUUUAGUUCUUCGAUAUCCUUUUUGUUACUGGGUGCGAAACGUAAAUGGUAACCGUUGAAUCUAACUGAAUCGGGAUGAAUUACGAAAUUUAGCUGAAUUUAUUUGUGUUUUUAUAGAAUUUAGCGGAAUAAUUUUUAAAUUUAAAUGGUAACUGAUGUAUCUAACUGGAUUUUUAAAUAAAUCAAUGAAACAUAAAAGUUUUCAAAAUAUAUAAUGUAAAGUAGUGAACAAUGUUAAAUUAGAUACUUAAAUUUUUAUCAAAUAUAAUUAUCAUAGAAAACCCUUACUACAAUUUUUUAAUUUUUAAUUCUUAAUUUUUUUUUCAGUGCACACAUUUAUAUUUUUAGUUAAAUAUUAACCCGUUUUACUAACAUUGUUAAUAAAUCUACAAAAACAAAAUUCACUUGAUACAAAUUUUUUUAAAGAAUUUAACCAACUUCAUCAGUAUUAUUAUUAUUACUAGUAUUUUUUUUUUUUAAAGAAGAGCUAACUAAUUUCUAUACUUAUUAGGAAAACUUUAUGAAAUUUGUAAUUUUUAAUAUUAAAAUAUUAAAUUUUUAUUAAAACCAUAUUAUAAUAAAGCAUUUUAAAUGAUAAAAUAUUACAUAAUCUAAUGAUAAGAUUAAAUUUCUCAACUUUCCUCAACUUUUUAUUUAUGUACAAUAAAAUGAUAUAACCAAAAUUAAACAAUUCCACAAUACAUAUCUUGACCCAAAUCUAAAGUGGCUUCUUAAGAUUACAACUAAUCUAAGCCUUUAGAUUAGUAACACGUGUGUUCCGCGUAAUCCACUUGUAGCCACCUUCCAUUUCAGCUAGAAGCUCUCUCUCAUUGACCCAUUUGGGUGCUUUGAAGCUAAAAAGACAACGAAGAUUCGCGACAACAUCUCCUCAGAGUCCAACCCAAAAGUUCAAAACCCUAAGCUAGAUUCUUUGCAGGUGACUGUAGAAUCUUUCUCUUAUGAACAUAUAUUGAUUCUCGAUUUUUUGGUCUUCAAAACAUGUUUGCAAAUAAACCUAUUCAUGUUUUGUUUGCUAUUUCAAAAACCCUAGACGUUAUUAUCGAUGAUCCUAGAUUUUGAUCACAUCUACGUUUGCUACUGCUUCCAUUAACCCUAGAAAUUGUACUUUUAUUUAUGUGUUCAAAAUCGUAGUUGUGUCCGCUUCCAUCAGCAAAAAUAUCAGAAGUAAUCAAAAACCCUAGAAGUCAUUAUCCAUGAAUCAUGAUGCUAGAUUGAUCUCAUCUUCUCUGAUUGUAUAUGUUUGCUACUGCUUCGUUUCUAGUCAUGAUUUUGUUUCUCUCUUUUGUCAAUAUUAAUUCUCAUAUUUGGUUAACCCUAGAAAUUGUAUAUACUGUGUAGUUUAAUUUUAUGUUAUUGCAGUUGUGACCGCCUCCAUCAGCAAAAAAAUGGCAAAGGAACAGAACAAAUUGUCCAAGCUAGACUGGUCUCUUCUCCCUGAAGAGUUACUUGACCUUAUCGCCAAGAAUCUGGAGAACGAAGACUACUGUUUCGAUGUUGUUCAUGCUCGUUCUGUUUGCACCUCGUGGCGAUCCUCAUUCCCCUUCCCUUCUUGUCUUUUAACCAUGCGUCAACGUCUUCCUACUUUUAUCGGUUUCCCUUUUGAAAGCAUGUACGGCUCGUUCAUUGUCGAGAAGAUACCUUUGUUUCUCUUAAGAGUUAAAGCUCCUGCUGCUGUGUCGCCUUCUGAGUAUUAUCUUGGAGAAAUAAAAGAACCGAAGGUUCAUACGGAGCUUCCAUCUCCUAUUCAGUGCACACUAAAAAUGACGAUCCCAGAAUCUGGUUCAACGGUGAUGAACAUGCUCGGCUGCCAGAUCAUCUCUUUGGGUCACCAGUACAGAUUAAUAUACGUUUCGGACAGUAAGAUGCCAAGAGGAUACGGAGGUAUGGCUUAUCUUCCGCUCGAGGUGAGAGGAAAAAGAGAAUUCGUUGUGGUCGUCAUUUACAACAGAUAUGUUUUGGCGUUACAAAGUGAGGAUAUGCAGUGGAUGCCGGUUAAUAGAACUACAUGGGAUGCAUGCGAGAGUAUAGUCAGUUUUAGAGGCAAGUUUUAUGCAGUCUUAGGUAACGGGGACAUAUGUGUUAUCGAUCCUUAUUCGCUGCUAGGAACUCCUUUACUGCCCUCAAUUCCUUAUAACUCAUUCAAGUAUCUAGUUCCAUCUGGUGAUGAUGAACUUUUCCUGGUUGAGAAAAUCCUUCCGGUUAAUUAUCGUUUAGUGGAUGAUUUAAAUAAUUUACCCUGUAGAGUAAGAAGGCUAGAUGAGGCGACUGGUACAUGGGUCGUGGUCAGCGAUUUGGGUGGCCGUGUUUUGUUUCUUGGAGAGCUUGGGAAUAUCUUUUGCUCAGUUAAGGAGCUUCCUGAUGGUUGUGGUAUAAGUGGGAACUCCAUUCUCUUCACCAAUGAGUAUGUCGAUGAAACUUUCGCCUAUAAAUAUGGAGUAAAUACAGGAAAUGCGGAUGACGACCUUAGCUUUUGGAGAUCCUCAAGAGAGAAUCUUGUUGAGAUUCUCACCAAUACUCCUCCGGUGGUGGCUCUCUGGAUUGACCACUAAGCUGUUGAAUCUUUACUUUAUAUACUUGAGACUUUGUGGGUUUGUAUAAUUUGGUCAAGAAACAUGUACUAUAUCUAAUGCUAUUAAGUGUAACAGUAUUUAAAGUCCUCCUCGAGUCAUUAGCUAAACACUUUUUUUAUUUCAAUGACUUUUUGAGUAAGUUUCAGAUAUAUAAAUAUUGGUGAUGUUUAAACUUGUAACUUCAGGUUCAUAUGUACAAGCAGCUUGCUAGUGGGCAUGUUGACAAUAAAGUGGAGUUCCAUAUAUAGUGGUGCACAAGUCUUAACUCUCUAUCCAAGCCCUUUAAUGUAUAUUCGGAAACCAAGAAGGUCAUCAAUGAACUUCUAAAUUAAACUAAGUCUCAUUUAACGAUAAACAAUAAUAAGCAUCAAUCAAAGCUUACGAGUUCCAAGGAGACUUCUCUUAAACAAAAAGCCAUCAUAAAGGCUAUAUGAGCUUGAGUUAAAUGAUGUGUACAUUACACUCUUAUUCUCCAUGAGAGUGUAGAGGCUGAGAGAUUUAAGGACUUUUGAUAAUGGCGAGUAAACAUUUCUUCAAGCCUCUUCUUCCCGGAUUCUACAGCCACUUGGUACUAUCUUACUUUCUGAUCUCUCUUUUUUUCUUUAUCUGUCUAUGUUUGAGAAGGUCCUUGAGAAAAAUGGGUCUGGUUUUGUAUUUGCAUGUUGUCUCAGACGAUUCCUAUAGCUUUCCUCUUGAAUAUAAAAGGAAGAAAUGAGCAGAAGACUGUGGAGCUGAGGUCAGACGCGUCAAAGAUAACUUGGAAAGUAAAGAUAGAUGGGGAGAGACUCACUGACGGUUGGAAAGAGUUUGCAGUGGCACAUGAUCUUCGAAUCGGUGACAUUGUUGUGUUCAGACAAGAGAGAGACAUGGCUUUCCAUGUUACAUUGUUGGGACCUAGUUGUUGUGAAAUUCAAUAUGUGUCUUGCCUAGAAGACCAUAACAACCUCAGUGAGUUGUGUUCUUUCGUCUCUAUAUAACUGUCCAUGACUAAUAUAAUGGAAUGUGCAUGGAUCUGUUCUUGUUUUCAGGGAUGAUUCAAAGGAAGAAGAGAGUAAGGAAGAAUCCAAGAAGAGAAGCAGAGUCUUCAUCACUAGAUCCCUCUUGUUUCGUGGCUAAUAUCACACCUUCGACCCUCCUUUAUGACAGACUGGUAUCUUACUCUUAACUUGAACCUCAAAGUAAAUUCCCCAUUAUAGGUUCUGAACUAAGAUAUAUUGUAAUGUUUUUAUAGCAUUUUCCAAGAAGUUUUGCAAGAGAAAAUGGUCUGGACACAAGAUGUGGAGAGAUUGUUCUGAUGAAUGAAAAGGGCAGAUCAUGGACUGUAGAUUUGAGAGGAAAGAGUUCAUGCGGAAGUGCUUACAUCAAACGAGGAUGGAGAAGUUUCUGCCAUGCUAAUGGACUAAGUGCAGGAAGUUUCUUUACUUUCAGACUGAUCCAAAGAGGAAGAACUCUGGUUCUACGUUUGUUCCCCAAAGAGACGGAAGAAGAAGAAGUAGAAGUAGUGUGUCUUUCCACAGAAGAGGAAAGUGAUAAAGAGAGAAGCCAAGAUGACUCACAAGAAUGUUCAAAAAGAAAGGAAAAGAAGAUAUCGAAAGCUUCAUCUUCGGGAUCCCAAAACCGAUUUGUGACACUAACUCUUACACGUUACAACGUCAGCUUAUCUAGACUGGUUAGUGUACUGAGCCAUUUUUUCUCUUUACAGCCUUAUAGAUUCUGAAUCCUUAUCUCCAUUGUUUGAAUCUUUCUCAGACUCUUCCAAUACCUUUCACAAAGGCGAGCGGCAUAAGAUUGGCAAAGGAGAUGAGUUUCUUGGAUAAACACGGAGUAAAAUGGUCUACGAGACUGAGGUUUGAGAAGGAAAGAAAGAGAAUGAGAUUAGUAGGAGGUUGGAAAGAGUUUUGCAAUGCUAACCAUGUGAAGAUAGGAGAAUCGGUCUUGUUGGAGCUAAUUUGGGAAAAACACAAAUCCUCUGUUCUUAAGUUCUGCUCCAAAGUGAUGCCAUAGACCAAGUGAAAAUGUUUCUUUAAGGUUAUUGAAUUGCAUGAAUCAAUGUUUAAAGCUUUUGUGUUUGAUAUCUCAGUCGUACUAGACGCUAGAUGCUUGCUUUAUCUGUAUGGUUAUGGUGUUGUGUAAUAAUAAUAUAUCGUCUCUUCUAAUUAUAUAUACAACGAUCCUGUGACAAGCUCUUCAGUUCCUAUUAAGAAUUGCAACGGUCUCUUGAAUUUAAACCAAAACACGUAAGAGUUCACUUGUAAACCGACCCACUCUCUCCCCACAACCCCAUAUUGAAACGACGGUUACAUUUUGAAGUUGUUUUUAUAGCUUGUGUGAGUUUUGGGGUUAAAGUAAAGACUCUUUCUCUUCCUGUGGUAUGUUUCUCGAUCUUAAUCUUUCUAUGUUAAUGUUUGUUUACAGUUUCCUAAAAACCUAGAAGCUUUUUUUUUUUUUGUUCUUUCAGAUAUUGAAAUCAGCAAAUAUGACAGAACCUGCAGAGAAACAGAAGCAAUCAUCAGUUAUGCUAGAUUGUGUAAGAACUCUUUUUCUCUCGGUUUAGUUUUUUUUCAAUUAAUAUCCUAGAAAUGAAUUUUUUUUUUUCUCUCUUUUAGGUUUCGACGUUGCAGCCUUGUUCAUCUCCAUCUGUCUCUAAAGAACAGACACUGUCCAUGCGAGACUGGUCUCUUCUCCCUGAAGAGCUACUUCAUCUUAUCGCCAAGUAUCUAGAGAACGAGGACUACUGUUUCGAUGUUGUUCAUGCUCGCUCUGUUUGCACCUCCCGUUUCCUUCUUGUCUCUUACGCCCAAGUUACUAUCUCCCCACAUUCGCCGAUGAAAGCAAAGUCAUGUGCACCCUCGAGAAGAUCCCUUUGUUCUUCUUUAGAGUAAAAACUCCUGCUAUGUUGCCUUCUAUGUAUUAUCUUGGAGACUUAGGCCAGGAUAACUCAGAGGAUCAUGUGGAGCUUCCAUCUCCGCUUCAGUGUUGCGUAAGAAUGAAGUUACCAGUGAUAACACUACACAAACAGAGAGCCUACCCUGUUUUGUUAAAACUCAAAACGAGUUGGGCCUAUCAAACAAAGUAAAGCCCAACAAACAAGGAAUUUUGAACUCACCUUCAUCAGCUGCAACGGAUACAGCGCUUCAAGACAAAACCAGAGAGAAAGCUGUCAUGUGUACGAACACAGUUAAAGUGAAGAACAGAUUCACAGCCCUUGAUUCUCUAGGCUCCGAUGGAUGAAGAACAUCUGUCAUGUGUCUCUUAGGGUUUUGUCUAAGUAUAAAUAUCAGUUGUAUUCCAAUUGUAAAACCUUAAGCUGAAAUAAGAAUACAAAAAGCUUCAAUCUCUGUUUUACUUUCAUGGUAUCAGAGCUCAGCACGCCUGAGCACGUGAAGAAUCGAUCUAUGGAGACCUACAUGGUUCCAUCACUCAACAUCUCCAACUGUGUUACUGUGAAACUCACUCAAAAAAAUUAUGUCCUUUGGAAGAACCAGUUUGAGACGUUCUUGGCUGGUCAAGGUCUGCUCGGCUUCGUCACUGGGUCUACUCCUCGUCCUGCAAACACCAUUCUUGUUCCUGGAAUCAACGGCUCUUCUACAGAGAAACCAAACCCAGAUUUUCAGAAAGAUAACCAAAACUGGAUCAAAACAGAUUGUGUUGUCAAGUCAUGGCUUUUAGGCUCUUUUGCUGAAGAUAUUCUCAGUGUUGUCCUCAACUGUUCUACAUCUCAUGAGGUAUGGAUAACUCUUGCAAAUCACUUUAAUCGUGUCUCCUCUUCUAGAUUGUUUGAGCUUCAGCGCAAGUUACAAAAUGUAGAGAAGAGAGAUAGAUCUAUGGAUGAGUAUCUUAGGGAACUUAAGAAUGUGUGUGAUCAGUUAGCUUCUGUUGGCAGUCAUGUUCCUGAAACUAUGAAAAUCUUUGCUGCCUUGAAUGGUUUGAAGAGAGAAUAUGAGCCUAUCAAAACAACUAUUGAAAACUCAGUAGAUUCAUCUCCACAUAUGACGUCAGAAGAUGUGGUACCUAAACUCUGUGGAUAUGAAGACAGGCUUCAAAGUUACUUGGUUGAGAAUAUUGUUUCUCCACACCUAGCCUUCACCACUACACCAUCCUCUGAAUACUAUCAAACAAACAACAGAGGUCGAGGUAACAACAAAUCAAGGUUCGGUCGUGGAGGAAGAAACUCAUUCUCUACACGAGGCAGGGGAUUUCAUCAGCAAAUAUCCUCAUCCUCAAGCUUUUCUAGCUCUCAGAGUGGCAGUGUGGUUUGUCAGAUAUGUGGAAAGACUGGUCAUCCUGCACUUCGCUGCUGGCACCGAUUCAACAACAGCUACCAAUACGAGGAGCUUCCGAUGGCUUUGGCUGCUAUGCGGAUUACUGACGUUACCGAUCAUCAAGGACAUGAUUGGCUGCCAGAUUCUGGCUCCACUGCACACGUCACAAACUCUGUUCAAGGACUUCAUCACUCUCAGCCGUAUCAAGGUAAUGAGUCACUAAUGAUUGGAGAUGGGAAUUUUCUUCCCAUUACUCAUACAGGUUCUACCAGUUUAGCUUCUACAGCAGGUAAUUUACCUUUAAAAGAUGUCCUUGUUUGCCCUGAUAUUGCUAAGUCAUUACUAUCUGUUUCAAAACUCACAAGAGAUUACCCCUGCUCUUUUGAAUUUGAUUGUGAUGGUGUUCGAAUUAAUGAUAAGGCAACCAAGAAGCUACUGGUAAUGGGAAAACUGCAUGAUGAUGGUGCUUAUGGUUUGGAGGAACCUCAGCUGCAAUCUUUCUACUCUACGCAUCAACAUUUGGCAAGUGAUGAAGUGUGGCACAGAAGACUUGGUCAUCCUCAUUAUCAAAUCCUCCAACAACUAUCCAAAGAUCAGUCCAUCUCCAUUAAUAAAUUUACCAAGCUGGUGUGUGAAGCUUGUCAGUUGGGAAAAAGUUCAAGACUCUCUUUUUCUCCUUCUACUUUUACUGCAUCUAGAGUACUAGAGAGGGUUCACUGUGACUUGUGGGGACCCUCUCCAAUAAUUUCUGUUCAAGGAUUCAGAUACUAUGUAGUAUUUGUUGAUAACUACUCAAGAUUCAGUUGGUUAUAUCCUUUAAAGAUGAAAUCCGAUUUUCUACAAAUAUUUCUUAUGUUUCAAAAGAUGGUGGAAACUCAGUUUGAGUGCAAGAUCAAAACCUUCCAGUGUGAUGGUGGGGGAGAGUUUAUAAGCAAACAGUUUCUGCAUCAUUUACAAGCCAGUGGAGUCCAACAAUAUCUCUCUUGUCCACAUACUCCUCAACAGAAUGGUUUAGCAGAGAGGAAACAUAGGCAUGUUACAGAAUUGGGGUUGUCAAUGAUUUAUCAAAGUCAGAUUCCACUAAAAUAUUGGGUUGAAUCAUUCUUUACAGCAAAUUUUCUCAUCAAUCUCCUUCCUACAUCAGCUCUCGAGAACAGCAAGUCACCAUUUGAGAAGCUAUUUGGCAGGAAACCAAAUUUCACAUCUCUAAGGGCCUUUGGUUGUGCUUGUUUCCCAACUCUGAGAGAUUAUGCUGCUAACAAGCUUGAUCCUAAGUCUCUGCAGUGUGUUUUCUUGGGGUAUAAUGAAAAGUAUAAGGGAUAUCGUUGUUUAUAUCCGCCAACAGGUCGUGUGUAUAUAAGUCGCCAUGUCGUCUUUAAUGAAGCUGUUUUUCCUUUUGCAUCAAUUUUUCAACAUCUUCAUCCUGAACCAGCCACUCCACUUGUUUCUGCUUGGCUCAAAGGAAUGCCUCCUACACAGAACAAUAUCAAUCAGAACUCAAAACCUUCUACUGGAACCUCACACAUAACGUCAGACUUACCAGUUCCACCUUUAAAUGAUGAGCAUUUUCCAAUGUUGCAGACUCAGGUCUCUGCUGCACUUGAAGACAAUCAUACUACUGUGGUAGAGGAGUGUACUGAGCGUACGACAGGCUCUGAUCCUGCUUCUAUUGGCGACAGCGCUUCUCCUACACAGGCAAGUACGAUCAUGUCUCAUGUUCAGCAAACCGAGGACCUACAGAUUCCAGCAAACAACACGGAUAAUGCUCACCCAAUGGUCACUCGAGCUAAAGCAGGAAUAAAGAAACCGAAUCCAAGAUAUGCUUUGCUCACUCAUAAGGUUAGUUAUCCUGAGCCGAAAACAGUCACACUAGCCUUAAAGGAUUCUGGUUGGAAUGCUGCAAUGCAAGAAGAAAUGAAUAAUUGCAGUGAAACAAAAACUUGGUCUUUAGUGCCUUAUACACCAAAUAUGCAUGUUCUUGGCAGCAAAUGGGUAUUUCGCACUAAGCUUAAUGCAGAUGGUACUUUGGAUAAGUUGAAAGCUCGUUUAGUGGCACAAGGAUUUGGUCAAGAAGAAGGAAUCGAUUACUUAGAGACCUACAGCCCAGUGGUUCGAACACCUACAGUGCGCCUUGUUCUGCAUCUAGCCACUUGUAUGAAUUGGGAACUUAAGCAAAUGGACGUCAAGAACGCGUUUCUCCAUGGCGAUCUUCAAGAAACUGUGUAUAUGAGACAACCUGCAGGGUUUGUGGACAAAGAUAAACCUGAUUAUGUUUGCCAUUUACAUAAAUCUCUAUAUGGCUUAAAACAGUCUCCAAGGGCCUGGUUUGACAAGUUUAGCACUUUUCUCUUGGAAUUUGGCUUUACUUGCAGCUUGUUUGACCCAUCUCUCUUUGUUUAUGCUCAUAACAAAGACACAAUUAUGCUUCUUCUCUAUGUUGAUGAUAUGGUGAUAACAGGAAACAACUCCAAGACUCUCUCACAUCUCCUUGUGGAGCUCAAUAAGCAGUUUAGAAUGAAGGACAUGGGUCAAGUGCACUAUUUUCUGGGUAUACAGUUUCAAGCUCACAAGGAUGGUCUCUUUAUGUCUCAGCAAAAAUAUGCAGAGGACCUUUUGAUCACUGCUUCAAUGGCAAAUUGUGCUCCAAUGCCUACACCACUUCCAUUAGAGCUCGACAAAGUUCCACAUCAACAAGAAGAAUUCUCUGAUCCGACUUAUUUCAGAAGCUUAGCCGGUAAACUGCAGUAUUUGACAUUGACAAGGCCUGACAUUCAAUUCUCAGUCAACUAUGUGUGCCAAAAGAUGCACAAACCAACUGUUUCAGACUUCCAUCUUCUAAAACGGAUUCUCAGGUAUGUUAAAGGGACAAUCAUCAUGGGUAUUUCAUACAACAGAGUCUCUCCUUUUGAUCUUAAUGCUUAUAGUGACAGCGACUAUGGUAAUUGUAAAGACACUAGACGAUCAGUUGGUGGUCUCUGCACUUUUAUGGGACAGAAUCUUAUCUCCUGGUCUUCAAAGAAACAUCCUACUGUCUCUAGAAGCUCCACUGAAGCCGAAUAUAGAACCAUAUCUGAAGCAGCCUCAGAAAUCAAAUGGAUGAGCUCUAUUUUGCGGGAGUUGAACGUUCCCUUACCAAAGACACCUGUGCUCUUCUGUGAUAACUUGUCUGCUGUGUAUUUGACAGCCAAUCCUGCUUUUCAUGCCAGAACCAAACACUUUGAUAUUGAUCAUCAUUAUGUCAGAGAAAGAGUGGCUUUGAAGACUUUGGUUGUUAAACAUAUACCAGGGCAUCACCAAAUAGCAGACAUCUUCACAAAAUCUCUCCCGAUUGGAGCUUUCCAUUACCUGCGCGGCAAACUCGGUGUUGGAGUUCCUCCCACUCCAAGUUUGAGGGGGGCUGAUAACACUACACAAACAGAGGGCCUACCCUGUUUUGUUAAAACUCAAAACGAGUUGGGCCUAUCAAACAAAGUAAAGCCCAACAAACAAGGAAUUUUGAACUCACCUUCAUCAGCUGCAACGGAUACAGCGCUUCAAGACAAAACCAGAGAGAAAGCUGUCAUGUGUACGAACACAGUUAAAGUGAAGAACAGAUUCACAGCCCUUGAUUCUCUAGGCUCCGAUGGAUGAAGAACAUCUGUCAUGUGUCUCUUAGGGUUUUGUCUAAGUAUAAAUAUCAGUUGUAUUCCAAUUGUAAAACCUUAAGCUGAAAUAAGAAUACAAAAAGCUUCAAUCUCUGUUUUACUUUCAACCAGGAUCUGAUCCAACCUUGAUGAACAUGCUAGACUGCCAGAUCUUCUCUCUAGGUCAUCAGUACAGAGUGAUAGGUCGGGAUCCUGAAGCUUGGCUAUCAUCCUACCAAGGCGUGGCUUUUCUUCCCUUAAACAAGGAAAGAGGAGAGUUCGUUGUGAUCUUCAACUACAGUAAUGAUUUGGUGGUGUUAAGAAGUAAAGAAAUGAAGUGGAUGUGCGUCUUAGGAAAAUCUCAGAUGCUUCAUGCAAGGAUGUAUUAGCUUUCAGAGGCAGGUUUUAUGCAGUCUUUCUUAACGGGGACGUUUUUGUUAUCGAUCCAUAUUCGCUGGUAGCGACUCCCCUGAAUCCCGCACAGCCUAUGAGAUCAGUAAAUUAUCUUGUUCAAUCUGGCAAUGAUGAACUUUUUCUCGUUGAGGCAACCAUCCCAGAGGCUGAAGUAAUUAUGUUUAGUAGGUUAACAUGUAGAGCGAGUAGGCUAGAUGAGGAGGCUGGCGAAUGGGUAGUGGUAAGCGAUUUUGGAGACCGCAUACUGUUUGGUAUAGAUUUUAGUUUUUACAAAAUCUUGAAUGGUAGUUUGUUUGGUUUUUAGAUUUUAAAUUUAAUUAUUUAUCAAAAACUUUUUUAAGGUAUUUGAAAAAGAAAUUGUUUCUGUUUUGGGCAUAAAAUGUUUUUAACAAAAAAACUCACGUAAAAGUUUUUUGGAAUCCACAAAAUUUGGUUUUUGGAUUCUAUGAACAAAUAAGCAAAAUCUCUAAAAAUUUGGUUUUCCUAAUUUUUAGGAAAUCUACUUCUAUCAAAAUCAUGAAUGCCUAACUAACUAGUUUUUGCAAAAUCAAAAACCAAAAACUAGUUCAAAAUCUGGAGCCAUUCAAGGCCUAAGCAUUCAAGCUUUACUAAUUUUGUUUUACCAUGUAAAAACAUAUUUUUAUAAUCUAUUCAUUCACCAUAAUCUAGAUUGCAUGGAAACUCAUUAUAUAGUUUGUUUCCGUUUCGGAAACACAACAAAUAUUACGAAAAUGCGGCUCAUAAUUUUUUUUUUUUGAAAAUACGAUAGAAGCUCACAUUUUCAUUUUAGAAAUGUGAUAAAAUCUUACAUUUCUAGUUUACAAAUUUAAUAGACAACUACUUUGGAAAUAUAUUGAUUUACGACAUAUAAUGAUACCUUUUGUAAAUUAAAAACCAAAUUAAUUUAAUUAAAAAUACACAUAUACAAGAAUAUAUGAUAUAUACAUUACCAAAAAAAGAGUAUAUAAAACCUAAAUUUAUGUCUAAGUGUUUUUAACUUUUAACCUUUAUUUUAUUUUUUUUUAUUUUUUUUUGAAAAUAAUGUUAAAUUAUAUUCAAAAGAAAAUGGGUUUCGUUUUUACAACAAGUGCAUCAAAUGUCGAAAUAGAAGUUGAAAUUUUGCUGAGAGUUCAGAAAAAGUAGUAGAAUCUAAAAAUCUUCAUGUUGCUUGUCUUGUGUGCAGCCACGUUUGGAAACUAGCAUCAUAUUUGUGGUCUGCCAUCCGCCGAAUUACUGUGCAUAGGUUGCGUACUAGAUGAUCGAUUUGCUUGAUCAGUUGUUCUGUCGAUGUGUGGGAGUUGCCAUGACGCCGAUCAUUGCGCUCUCGCCAAAUGCUGUGUAUAGUAGUCUGGAAGAUAUAUCGAGCAAGGAACUUCUCCACAUGGGGAAGUUGAUUGUUUGAGAUGUAAGUGAGAAGCGAGGUCCAGUCUGUUGUAUAGUUCCUUCUAAGAACGCCUUUAGCUAGCGCAGCCCAGACGGCCGAGGAGUAGCUACAAAUGAAGAAAAGAUGGUCUCUGGUUUCAAUGCUGUUGUUACACAGAACACAGUUGCCCGAUGCAUCUCUAUUCCAUCGGAGUAGCCUUACUCCUGUAGCUAAGCGAUCAUGCACUGCCAACCAUGCGCAGAGAGCAUGCUUUGGUGUUGCGUGAGGGAACCAAAUGCCGUUGUGCCAAGAAACUCUAGCAGAUUGAACCCGCGUAUUAUGCCAUGUGUCUUUUGUUGAGAAAUUUGGUUUGAAAUCGUCGUGUUUGCCCCGCCAAAGUAGGAGAUCCUGUUGGGUCGUGGCGUUGUGACGUUGGGUAGCCAAGACAUCUUCGAUUGCAUUUAGGUGCCCUUGGCGGUGUCUUCUCCUCCGACGUGAAGUCCAUGCUUGAGCCACAGUCAUGUGCCGAGCGAUCCCCAACUUUUAACCUUUAUCGUUCACUUAAACUAUUUAAAUAUCUAUAUUUUAGAUUAACGUAUUGUUUCAAAACAUUUUUUCUCAAUAUAUGGUUUUGAUAUUUUGUAUUUUAUGAUAAUAUAUAUAUUAAACAACUACUAGUUUUUUUUUUAAUCAUCAUCUUCUUUAUUGCUAAAAGUUGCAGGAACAGAGAAAGGAAUAAAAAACAGAGCAUAAUAAAUCGUAGAAAAUUAAUCAAACACAAGCUAACACCGGUCCCUUUGAAUGCGUUACUAGUUUACAAAACAUUUUUUUUCUUGUUUGCAAAACAUUUUUUUUCUAAGUAUCCGUUUCUGUUUCCAUGGAAAACAGACCAUAAUUUUGUUGUUACUAUAUUGUUAGUACUAGGCUCGGACCCGCGCUACAGCGCGGAUGAAAAGUGUCGGUUUUUAUUUUUUCCCGAAUUACGUAAACUUUUAACUGUUAAAAUGGAUUGUUGGUGUUGAAUUUGGCAAGUAUGAGAAUAUGUACUAUCGUGGAUGUAUACUUUCUCACGUAUGCUAGGUUUAGAUCCGCGCUACAGCGCGAAAGAAUAUUUUCAGGUUUAUUUUAUUUUAACGUGUUUUGUCGUAUGUGUUAUUAUUUCGUUCAUUUUAGUAUCAACAAUUAUUAUUUCGAAAUGUAUAUUUGGUUUCAAUUCUUUGAGAAAAGUGUGUUUUCGGAAAUUAAAUAUAAUAUUUUUAUAAACUAAAUAAAAGAACGUUUAUUAAACAAAUUGUAUACUCACAAUGUAUGUGGUGACGAACCAAUCAGCAAAAACCGUGUAUUUUAAAAAAAAUCAUGAAAAUCAUGUAUACACAUGUAUCACACACGAACAUAUGAGUUUGAAAGAUUUGUAUAUACUUGUAUCCUAUAAAAAUAAAAUAAAAAUAUUAAUAUACUUCAUAUUGAAUAAGAGACCAUAAUAUUCUUGUUAUUCACAUAUUAAAAUAUUUAGAACAUUUUAAGGAAAAUUCAGAGUUUAAGGUAAUUUAUUUAAACUAACUUAUGGAAUAUAUUCUUUAUGACUGAUUUUGUAUUAGUAGUAAUUCGAUGAUUAAUAAUUACAAAGAUAAAAUAUUGUUAUUAAAGUAUUUUUAGUUAAUUAUAAUAAUUAUCCUAAAAUAUUUUUUUUUGUAUCCAAAAUAUUUCGUAUUACUCAUUGAAAUAUAUUAGUGAUUGUCAAAUUUCUUUUUUUUUUCAAAAUUCAAAUAUAACCAUUUCUAGAUAUAUAUAGAUCUCUAUAAUUUUGCAUUAAUUAUGCUAUUGAUAAAAUAUUAUUCCUUUUUUAUAGGUAAUUCAAAUUGAUAAAGAUUGGAAUAAUUUUGAAACCUCUUUUCAUAUACUAUUUUUUUAUUCUGAUUAAAAUCUUUCAUUUAACAUAUUAGGAAAUAUAAAAAAUAAUAAAGAUUUAAUAUAUAUAAAAUCUUUCGUUUUUUAUAAAAUCUUUAAUAAAAUCUUUCGUUUUUAUAGCCAUAUAUAUUCAAAUUUUAUUUUUCGAAACAUUCAACUAAUUCAAACUAAUUAACAUUUUUAUUGAUUAUAUUACCAUUAUUUAUGUAUUUUAGAUGCAUUUUUAUAUUUUUUAUACCAAAUAUUUUUAAAUUAUAUUUUUCUAUAUAUCAAAUAUUUAAACUUUUAAAAAAUUAUAAUUUUUUUUUUGUUUUUCAUAUAAGAAAUUAAUAUAAUAAUUAGAAUAUUUUUAAAAUAUUGAGAUCUUUAUAUUCAUAAACAAAUUUUACUUAUAAGACUUAUUUUUUAUUUAGCAUUAAUAUAGUUUUCCUAAAUGAUAGGAAUCUGGUGUAUAUCAUUGAAAUAUUUGAAAAAUAUUUAACAAAAAAUUUGGCAAGUAUCCGAUUGAAAAUUUAACCCGGAAUUUUUUGAAAAACCCGACCCGAAUCCUUUGUGUACUUCUCUUUUACUAUAGUAGGGAUAUGAGAGCUAAUUUAGUUACCCUCUUUUCAGUUUCAGCUAAGUUGUGAUCUUUUUUUUUUUUUUUUAACUUGAUCUAAUAGUCUUAUAGAAAGCUGAAUCAGACUACAAAUCAUUCAAUGAUUUGAUUAGUUUAUAAGGAAUACCAUCCUUUAUCCAGAAGUAUGAAAGCAACAAUCUCGAUCGGCAUUUGUCUUUUUAAUUAUAUUAUUAGUAAUUACAUAUAUAUAUAUAUAUAUAUUCUGUUUUGGCUCCUGUUAUGGGUUUCUUGGAGCAGAUUUUUUUUUUUUUUUUUUUUGUGUAAUUAAAAGAAAUGAAAAAUGUGAACAUUAGAAAAAGGGUAAAAAAAAGAAUAUUGUCUUUUGACGUCGUCACUCGUGAGUUAUUUGUUGGCGUAAUAAGUCAAGAAAAUUGAAAUCGACACAAGAACCGCUCCCCUCAACGGCUCCUUCCUAUUCAAAAAAAUUGACCCUUUAGCAUUUUGGUACGUUCGUAAUUAAAACUGUUACAUCUUAGUUAAGCUAUCAAUCUUCUCUGGUCAUGCUUGUUUACAAGUUCCUUAACCCUUGAAUUGUAUUUUUUUUUUUCUUUUCAGAUUUCGAAAUCACACAACCAUGGCAAUGAAAAUGAAGACAUCAUCAUCACCAAUGUUGCCAGACUGGUCUCUUCUACCGGAGGAGUUACUUCAAAUUGUCUCCACAAAUGUGGAGGACUGUUUCGAUGUCGUUCAUGCUCGGUCUGUUUGCAACUCGUGGCGAUCCUCGUUUCCCUUUCCUUCUUGCCUCUUACGUCCAAGUUACUCUCUUCCCACAUUCGACGAGUUAACUCUCGAAAGCAAAGACUUGUGCACCCUCGAGAAGGUUCCUUUGUUCCUCUUUAGAGUCCAAGCUCCUACUGUUGCUUCCGAGUACUUUCUAGGAGGAAUAGGCCGAGAUGAUCAUAUGGAUCUUCCAUCUCCUCUUCAAUGUUCAGUAAAAGUUCAUAUCCAAGGAAAUGAUCCAACGUUAAUGAACAUGACCGACUGCCAGAUCCUCUCUCUAGGCCAUCAAUACAGAUUGGUUGGUUGGGAACCUAAAGAGUAUCGUGGUGCGGCUUUUCUACCGCUAAACAAGGAAGGAAGAAGAGGAGAAUUCGUUGUGCUCCUCAACUACACUAAUGUUUUGCUGGUGGUAACAAGUGCCGAAAUGAAGUGGAAGCGGCUUGAGAACGUCCCAGCUUCUAUAUGUUCAGAUUUAUUCACUUUUAGAGGUAAGUUUUAUGCAUCCUUUCUUGCAAAAAGUACUUUCGUUAUCGAUCCUUAUUCGCUGGAGGUGACUCUCCUCACGCCCUCACCUCUUAAGCCACUAAACUAUAUGGUGGCAUCUGGUGAUGACGAACUUUUCCUGGUUGAAGUAAGCAUGCCAAGUUGUAAGGUAUUAGAUUUUAGCCGGUUCACAUGUAAAGUGAGUAGACUAGAUGAGGAAGGUGGGAAAUGGGUUGAGGUCAAAGAUCUGGGAGACCGUGUGUUGUUUAUUGGACAUUUUGGUAAUGUCUCUUGCUCAGCUAAGAAGCUCCCUGAUGGUUGUGGUGUGAGUGGGAACUCAAUUUUGUUCACUGAUGUACCAACUUAUGCCUAUAAAUAUGGAGUACAUACUGGUAACGUGGGAGAUGAUCUCAAUUGUUGGAGAGCCACAAGAGAGAAUCGUGUGAUGAUCUUCAACACAGAACCAGUUUUGGCUCUCCAAGUUGAGCACUAAGUCAUUCUGUUGGUUAUUUAUUUUUCUUUAUUAGACCACAAAUAAACCUUGCUUUAGUCAUAGUUAUAGACUUUGUGAUCUCUGUUGUUGCCCAUCGUCUUAUAUUUUUUUUUUUUGUGUCACGGUGAUAUGCUGAAGACUAAUAUCAUUUGGUAUCCAAGUCUUAAUAUAUUUUUGUUUAAAACUAUCCCCAACACAACCAUGUCUAUGCAUGAAAAUAUUGUUUCCUGAACUCUUGAAAGAUGUGUUUGGCUGUAAUCUUGAUCAUAAGUCAGUUUUGACCAAAGUUUGUCAACAGUGCAAAAAGUUUCUCAGUUUUGACCAAAGAUGUGUUUUAUUCUUAGUCUCCAGCAUUGCACAAUUUGCCUUUGACACAUCACACAUAUGUGCCAUAGGUAGGUUAAUGAACAUGUGUUGAUGACAAAAAGAAGGUAGGUAUGUCAAUCGACCUGGCCCGGCCCAAAAAAUAUUCGAACCUAUAUUUCAAAGCCUAGAUGGCUACAGGGUUUUUUCGUCCUUUUUUGGUUUUACUUACGGAUAAAAAAAAAUCAACUUCUAAGUUCAAAAUAAUUUUUAAAUAACAAUAUUUAAAGGUAUACUAUAAAAACAAUACAUCAAAUUUU